AUUGAACGCUGGCGGCAUGCCUUACACAUGCAAGUCGAACGGCAGCGGGGACUUCGGUCCGCCGGCGAGUGGCGAACGGGUGAGUAAUGUAUCGGAACGUACCAUUCAGUGGGGGAUAACUAUCCGAAAGGGUAGCUAAUACCGCAUAUUCUGUGAGCAGGAAAGCAGGGGAUCGCAAGACCUUGCGCUGAUUGAGCGGCCGAUAUCAGAUUAGCUAGUUGGUGAGGUAACGGCUCACCAAGGCUACGAUCUGUAGCGGGUCUGAGAGGAUGAUCCGCCUCACUGGGACUGAGACACGGCCCAGACUCCUACGGGAGGCAGCAGUGGGGAAUUUUGGACAAUGGGCGCAAGCCUGAUCCAGCCAUGCCGCGUGAGUGAAGAAGGCCUUCGGGUUGUAAAGCUCUUUCGGCCGGGAAGAAAUCGCAUCAGCUAAUACCUGGUGUGGAUGACGGUACCGGAAUAAGAAGCACCGGCUAACUACGUGCCAGCCGCCGCAGUAAAAC
rnacentral:rRNA from 1 species